rnacentral:lncRNA from 1 species
CACUUCCUUUUCCCUAGAUUUAUUAUUAUUAAAUACACCUCUGUUUGUUUAAUAUGAUCCAUCUUUAUUUUUUAAGUUUUUCAUCAUAAAUUCAGCCAUAUUGUAAAGUUGAUAGAAAAUUCAAUUCUUUCUUGACCUUUUCAUUCUUCUUCAUCUUUAUUACUGCAUUUCGUUGAAAUUUGUGGGAGCACAAUCCAGAUACUACUGUUAUGCUCGGUGAUUCUCGGAAAAACUUACUAAGGUUUUCACUUGUUUAAGCACAUUUUGGAGCACCAGCCAUUUGUUUCUGCUGCAAUCAGCUUGGAGUUUGGAGGUUAAGCUAAUCCAUGGUUUGUGUUUGCUUCCAAACUAAAGAGAGUUAAAAAGGAGUCAAAGACAAUGAAUCGUAUUUCCGGGAAUCGAAUCGAAUGCUGUUUCAGAAAUUAUUUGGGUUCCACCCUUCUCUUGAUCCUGGGGAAGAACAGACUUAUAGAUGCUCCAGUAACUGAGAAGCUACCAAAACAAGUGUGACGUAUAAAUUGGCUGAAGAAGGGCAUUGUGAAUAUCAAAAUUUUCUACACGAGCAAGUUAGUAAGCAGUGAGGACAGAGGGGAAGGAGUCGUACAUCACACUGAAGCACCUGCUGCUUGCGCUUGUUCGUCUGAACAAGCCUCUCGUUCAUCUGAUGAGCAGGUGGCCAUAAUAGAUGGGACUUUUUCUUCAGGAGAUUCUCAAGACCUUCAGCCUCUACGGCCAAGAACAAAAGCCCCGCCCCUGACAGGUUUACUCCCAGACUUUUUGGUGGCAACUACUAACUAAACAUCAUUAACAAAAAAAUCCACAUUCCACAUAUCAGAUUAUAAUCAAAUGGACUAUUAAAUUUUUUGUAUAUUUCACUUAUUUUUGUAUGUAAGAUAGCAGAAAGAUACGAUAACAUCUCAUCUAUUUAAAAUAUAGAACAUCAUUUUUCUACUUUUUAAAUACAUAUACACUUUACAAAGUACACAAACAGAGGGAAUAUAGUGGAUCUCAUUCGAAUUUGAACAAAUGUAUGUUUUAACUGUUAGGCACACCGAUGACUCAAGUUGAUAAAUCUGGUGGCACCUAAUCUUCAUGAUAAAGAUACAAACCAAGGCCAAACCGAGCACAUGCCCUGCCAAAAGCCAACUCCUCGGCAGCGGCCACAGGGUCUACAACAUGGUCAGUGCUAGAAGAUACAGUCCCAGUUGAUUCACGGUAAGCCUGCAUCAUUAGAUAGAUAUGAUAAAUUUUUUGGUUGCUAAGAAAUGAUACCAGCUAAAACUGAGAAAAGUAACAAUCUGUAAAAGUUCAUUCUUAUCAUCUCAGAUUAAAGAGUCUAAUAUUGUAUUUAUCAAGAGAAAAGUCUAGUAAUUGUAUAAAGACCGCCAUUCCUGAUUGAAAAUACCAGCCAUCUUCCAUAUUUGGCCUCUUUCCCCAAAUCUAAGAUCAGAUAACCUUAAACAUGGGAUACUGGCAAUGUGUAAUUGUAGUUUUCCAAAGAUCCCAGCAAUUGAAAAAUGUAAGAAUGCCGGUGAGUGGUGCCCCCAAUUUUUCUAGAUUAAUUAAUAACAAUUAUGGAACUUUAAGUUAUCUCUAAUAGUGAGAUACAAUGCCGCCAAACAGUAUCUUUACAUAUUUGGAUGGAAUGCCUUUUCCUGCUAAAUCAAUAAAUGGCAGCACACAAGAACUUUUCAUGAAUUGGCAAGAAGAGAUCAUUAAUGUAGCAGCAAGACAUGGCAAUUGCCGGUAAGGAUAAGAAGGUCAAAGCUGCAUCCUCUUCUUUCUCUAAUCAUAGUUCCUUUUAGUUGUUUAGUGCAAUUCAGAUGCAAAGUAUUCUGGGGAAGUGAGUUCCUC